rnacentral:rRNA from 1 species
AUUGAACGCUGGCGGCAUGCCUUACACAUGCAAGUCGAACGGCAGCACGGGUGCUUGCACCUGGUGGCGAGUGGCGAACGGGUGAGUAAUACAUCGGAACAUGUCCUGUCGUGGGGGAUAGCCCGGCGAAAGCCGGAUUAAUACCGCAUACGAUCUACGGAUGAAAGCGGGGGGCCUUCGGGCCUCGCGCUAUGGGGUUGGCCGAUGGCUGAUUAGCUAGUUGGUGGGGUAAAGGCCUACCAAGGCGACGAUCAGUAGCUGGUCUGAGAGGACGACCAGCCACACUGGGACUGAGACACGGCCCAGACUCCUACGGGAGGCAGCAGUGGGGAAUGUUGGACAAUGGGCGAAAGCCUGAUCCAGCAAUGCCGCGUGUGUGAAGAAGGCCUUCGGGUUGUAAAGCACUUUUGUCCGGAAAGAAAUCCUUGGCCCUAAUACGGUCGGGGGAUGACGGUACCGGAAGAAUAAGCACCGGCUAACUACGUG